GACGCACUCUCAGAGUUUGAUCCUGGCUCAGGAUGAACGCUAGCGAUAGGCUUAACACAUGCAAGUCGAGGGGCAGCGAGGUGUAGCAAUACACCGUCGGCGACCGGCGAAUGGGUGCGUAACGCGUAUGCAACUUACCUUUUAGUGGGGGAUAACCCGGUGAAAGCCGGACUAAUACCGCAUAUGCUCCGAAUAUCACAUGAUUUAAGGAGGAAAGAUUUAUUGCUAAGAGAUAGGCAUGCGUUCCAUUAGUUUGUUGGUAAGGUAACGGCUUACCAAGACUACGAUGGAUAGGGGGACUGAGAGGUUGACCCCCCACACUGGUACUGAGAUACGGACCAG
rnacentral:rRNA from 1 species